GGAUAUUUAGUUGCACAGAGUCCAGUAGAGAAGUAGUAAGCACAUAAGCUACUUCAAGUUAGCAACAAUACCCAUAUAAUGACACAUGUAAAUAUAGUAGACACCAGCUAAAGGCUGCAUUCAAAUUCCUACACAGAACGACUAAACUCUUCACUAUUAGAUAUCCAAAUUAAGUAAAAAUGUAUAGGUAUAUAUAGAGAUAAGUUUAUCUUAGCCACAAUGGCUUCAAGUAUCUAUAUCAAAGUAAAUAAAUCGAAAGGACAGAAAGAUAUCAGUGGAGAGAAUGAAGAAUAAAGUGGGGAGGCAAUAGAAGAUGUUCAAUAGAUCAAAUGACCCUGAACUAUAAUUCAACCGAUGAAAACAGGCUAAUUGCCCAAGUACACCCCCCCCACCAGAUAUAGCAGGAGCCCAACGCGCGUUUCGGCGGUAAUGUCCGCCUUUCUCAAGGGUAUGAUAGUGUGCAAAAGUCCUCCUUUAGUCCUCUCCCUUAUAUGCACUUAUAAUUGGCGCCAAAACAUGCCCGCCCGUCAUAGGGGGGCUUGGUCUUCGUUUUGACACGCCCACCUAUUUUCGUAUGAAGAAAGAGGGGGGGUGGAAAAAAGGGGUUUCAGAGUGCCCCAGUACCUUGCCAAUAGAGGUAGACCCGUACGUAUAGAAUCCGGCAGGAAGCGCAUGCGUCUCAGGCCGAUACUCGGUCAAAGAAGAGACGCAUGCGCACACAUUUAGCCGGCGUCGACGGAGUCCCUAAUAAGCCAAAAGUCCUCUGGAGGCUAUUGCACAUGCGCUGAGGCUGGCGUUUCGCCAGAAAAACGCGCAUGUGCAGAUCCUCACAUAGAAAGAUGCAAUUUAGGCUCACUAUGAUAUCUUAGUUCCAUUCAAG